GUGCUCCUUUCCCAAUUUGGAACCAAUCCAUUGCUCCAUAUACAGUUCUGACUGUUGCUUCUUGACCUGCAUGCAGGUUUCUCAGGAGGCAGAAGAAGAAUCCCAGGAUUUUCUCUCCUGUGUGAUUUCAACUUGCUUCCACUUGGUCCACGAUGCCAGGUGCUCUAACCAGGCCUUGCAUCAAAGGUUUGCUCCAGGGAGUCUCCACAAUCUUGAAGCAAAAAAUGGAUUAACCUGGAGGCUUCAGGCUUUGACAUUGUGGCUGGACUCAGGACCAUUUUAGAAUCUACAGGUACCACAGGUACCAUCCAGACUCUUUCUUCCAAUCAAGCAAAGAAAAUUCCAGGGAUUUUCUGAGUGGAUGGGUGUGACCCUGGAAAUGAAGCAAGGAGCUUGGAGUAGAGGAUCCACCUUCAGCAUUCUAUGAUCCUAACCCUUCCAUGCUGCCAGUGUCCUGAGGACUUCCCUUUGAUGCUAAUCACGAGUUCCUUCUUGCUGGCUUCCCUCGCCUCCCUUGCACUGUAUAAACUAUGUGUGUGUUGGGGAGUGGGGUGCUUUUCUCUAUCAGAGAUCACUGAUGCACAGCAAGAAGUACUAUGGCUUAUAUAGUACUUUUAAUAAAGUAAAAAUAAAAAGCAAUUUAAUAUAAUUGCUAUUUUCACAAAAGAAUUGUCUUAUUUUCCAAUCCAGAUAAUAAAUACAUCAAUCUAUGAAUAUCAAAUAUUCUUUAAUUCCAUAAGUCAGCUGAGAAAAGGAAAAGUGAGGGAGAAAGAAGGAAGGGAGGAGAGAGAGAAAGAAUGCCAAGCAGAGAUUUAAAACACAAGAGACAGAGACAGAGGCAAAGAGAACAGAGGGAGGAAAGAUCUGGCGGGCUUAGAGGAGGGGAGACCAGAGAAGUGCAUGGAGAGGGUGAGGAGUAUCCAGGGGGAAGACGAAGACAGAGCCUAAAUGCCCUUCAUGGGCCCUGCUCCUCCCCAGGGCUGUCGUCUUUCAUCACAGGGUUACUUGUUCUCACUUGCCCUAAAGUGCAAAAACCAAAUCUUCAUCUGUACUUUCAGUGACUUAAGGAUUAAAUCCACUGUAGGAACUUUGGUCAUUUAAGGGAGAAAUUCUUGAGUCCGUAGGGGCAGUGACAAGAGCAAUGCUUAUCUCAGUUGCCGGAUGAAAUCAACCAAACCUAGUCAGAAAGCAGGGCUUUUCCUCCCCCAGGGACAGGCCAAGUCACCUAUUGAUUGCUGAAUUUUCCCCAAACAGUGAUAGUUUUGGUGUCUUGUAAAUGUGGCCAGCGCAUCCAUUCAGUGUCACGUCAUUCAUGGAGUAAGGAGCAGGAUUAACAGAUGCAUAUGGCACCAAGGCCUCCAUGUUUGGUUGUGUGGGUUGUUUACUGAACAAGUGCCUGGUCCAGAGACACCCAUAUCUGAAAGAAGCAGCUGGCAAAGCCAUGUCCACUUGGAGAAAGCAAUGUCUUUUCCUAAUUUGCCCAAAGGCACCAGUGGACUUAUGUGACCCAAUGUUCAAUCAGAGAAGUAAGUGUAAGUGGAGUCACUCAGUCGUGUCCACCUCUUUAUGGCCCCAUGGCUACCAGGCUCCUCUAUCCAUGGGAUUUUCCAGGCAAGAGUACUGGAGUAGGUUGCCAUUUCCUUCUCCACGGGAUCUUCCCAACCCAGGGAUCGAACCUGGGUGUUCCGCAUUGUAGGCAGAUGCUUUACUGUCUGAGCCACCAGGGAAGAAGGAUUGCUUUUUAUCUGAAGGAGCCUCCAAGAGUGUGGGCGGUUCUAGAGACUUGAUCUGCACAUGAGAUGGGCUCCCGUCCCCCCAGGAUGGCAGUGGGAGAGGAGAAUGGACUAUCUCAAACCUCACACCCAUCUUACAUUUACUCUCUGGCUUGAUCACAGCCUCACAGGUAGGCGAGGCCAGCAUUUCCUGUUUUCAGAUGACGACGCUGUUGGUUAGAGAGACUGAGACCCACCAAGGGCAUGUAGGAUAAGCAAAUCUGGGAACUUAGCACAAUACUAAGCCUAGGUUUGUCAAUGAACAAAGGGCUGUGGAUGCUGGGACAGGCAUCUGUUAUGUGGACUCUGAGUCAGAUGCUCUUGCUGACUUGCUGAAGAGGAAUUUGGGGCUGUUGUCAAGUCCCUCUCUAAACUGAUUUCUCUCACUGUCAGGCAUGAGUGUGUCUUCC
ensembl:lncRNA